AAUAAAACAAUAAAGAACACAUAUUCUAUUGACAAGAUGAACACAGCAAAGAACUAUACUUUUCUCCAGUUCACAAUAUUCUUAAUUGCUCUCUUCCUCAUUACAUCAGAUAUGUGCAUGAAAACAGAAGCACAGUCACCUAUUGUGACAUGGCCAUGUGUAUCACCAAAACCUUGCAAAGUUAGCAGCACUUUUAGUUGCCCUUGUAUCAAAAAUCAAUGUCAAUGUGGAAAACCACCUCUUGAUGAUAACAAUUCUAUUGCAUCAUCCUCAAUUGCAAAUUAAAUAAAUACAUAUUGUGUGGAAUUCAUAUAGUGUGUGAAUGAGAAUGUAAUAAAGGUUGAUAAGAAAAAUAUCAAUUUCAUCUUAUUUUAUUUUCAAA